CAGACCAGUCGAGCUAACCAGUCUAUGAGAAGAAUUCAAUAGAAGAAUAGUAUUACGGAUGGUGCAAAUUUAUUUGACUGUACAAAAGAUGAAUUUGACGUAUCCAAACGAGCAAAAAUUUGAUGUAUCCAAACGAGCAAUUCUUAUUUUGAAAGAUGAUAACUAUUACUAGACGAUUUUUCUUUCAUUUUCUCGCGCACACUUGAAAAAUUCAACAUCUUCAAUCGAUGCCUUGUCCAGACUUUACCUAGAGCUCCAACGGUCAAUUUCUUCACUAGAUGAAAACUGGUUUUCGCUGAAAACCAGUUUUCUGGUUGUUGGUGACCAAUUAGGCGAAAACCGGUUUUCAUUCAAGUGAACAAAUUGGCCGUAGGCAAAAACCAUUAAACCAACUGAAUUUUUUUUAUGUCGAUUAUAGAUUGUAACCUUAUGAUCAUUCGCUUUACAUUCGUCGGACUGCUAUGUGCGAAUUUGAGAAUCAAAUCCGUAGAAGGACAUCGAUUUACCAACUACGCUAUACCCACCCCUCAACUGAAAUUUAAAAAAAAUGCUUCGUCUAUUCGAAAUCUUACUCUUUGCUUCUCGCAAUUUAUAAAACUCGAAAAGGAGCAAACAAAUUUAAUUCGGACUUUCUUUUUGUUGUUCCAAAAAGUAAAUGUGAAUGAACCAAUUGUCAGAAAUAGACACGAACUAGGCUCCAUUAUUGCGGACGUAUUUCACAAAAGAAAAACAAUUCAAUUUACAACUGUAUGUAACAUAAAUACAGAUAGAACCCACUAUA